rnacentral:rRNA from 1 species
UACGUAGGGUGCAAGCGUUGUCCGGAAUUAUUGGGCGUAAAGAGCUCGUAGGCGGUUUGUCGCGUCUGCUGUGAAAACUCGGGGCUUAACCCCGGGCCUGCAGUGGGUACGGGCAGACUAGAGUGCGGUAGGGGAGACUGGAAUUCCUGGUGUAGCGGUGAAAUGCGUAGAUAUCGAGAGGAACACCAGAGGUGAAGACGGGUUGCUGGGCCGACACUGACGCUGACAGCGCGAAAGCCAGGGAGCAAACGGG